CAGUGGGGAAUUUUGGACAAUGGGCGCAAGCCUGAUCCAGCCAUGCCGCGUGCGGGAAGAAGGCCUUCGGGUUGUAAACCGCUUUUGUCAGGGAAGAAAAGGUUCUGGUUAAUACCUGGGACUCAUGACGGUACCUGAAGAAUAAGCACCGGCUAACUACGUGCCAGCAGCCGCGGUAAUACGUAGGGUGCAAGCGUUAAUCGGAAUUACUGGGCGUAAAGCGUGCGCAGGCGGUUAUGCAAGACAGAGGUGAAAUCCCCGGGCUCAACCUGGGAACUGCCUUUGUGACUGCAUAGCUAGAGUACGGUAGAGGGGGAUGGAAUUCCGCGUGUAGCAGUGAAAUGCGUAGAUAUGCGGAGGAACACCGAUGGCGAAGGCAAUCCCCUGGACCUGUACUGACGCUCAUGCACGAAAGCGUGGGGAGCAAACAGGAUUAGAUACCCUGGUAGUCCACGCCCUAAACGAUGUCAACUGGUUGUUGGGAGGGUUUCUUCUCAGUAACGUAGCUAACGCG
rnacentral:rRNA from 1 species